GUCAGGAUGGCCGAGCGGUCUAAGGCGCCAGACUCAAGGUUUACUCCUUCUCUGUUCAAAAACUGAGUUUUUCGGGCUUUCUGGUCCUCUCUGAGGGCGUGGGUUCGAAUCCCACUUCUGACA
rfam:Acromyrmex echinatior unplaced genomic scaffold scaffold351, whole genome shotgun sequence.